GCCGCGGUGGUGGAACUGGUAGACGCACUGGACUCAAAAUCCAGCGAUGGCAACAUCAUGGGAGUUCGAGUCUCCCCCGCGGCA
rnacentral:tRNA from 1 species